ACUUCGGGCUAGAAGAUCGAGGGUUCAAGACCUGCUACCUGCCUGUUUCAUUACAUUGGUGUCAGAAGUGAUCGAACCUUGCAUCCACGACAGUGCGUGUACUUAGCCGGUGAGCGCGUUCCUAUGAGACGUUGAGUCUAUUAGCUAGAGCGAGGACGCGCUCUUUGAAUGGAAGGAGUAGUGUAACGACCCUGGGUUUAUAAUCGCGGAUAUCGACACUGCCGCUCAAGCAUGCUUUUGCGGCACAGUCGAUAGCGCGCUGGACUUCGAGCUAGAACGGAAGGCCGAGGGCUCGAGACCUGCUCCCUGCCUGUUUCAUUACACUGUUUCUGCAUUACGAGUAGGCUGUAUCAUCUGUAAGAACUGUGUACAAGCCACCAAGCUCAUAAAAUAUUGGAGUUAACAGUCAUUAGUUAAAUUACAUGUUAACCAUAUCGAUAGCCUAAUUGAGGCGCAGUAGAGUUCACCGGCGAAUGCAGACACACUGGAAAUAAUAACUAAAACAACGAAAGAGAAAUGGUGGAGGCUCCCAGAAUGAAGACAGACAUUUUUCGGAAUAAACGUGGGCACUGCAAGGUUGGGUGACCAGAGCCAUCUGGGACUGCCUCUUGGGGGAAUUCAGGCGUGUGAAGUCUUCCUGUGUCCUGCAUAACUUCAUGAGGAUGGACACAAGGUCCAGAAGGAGAUAUACAGCUCGCUGCCAUGUGCCAGAGGAGAAGUCUGCUGCUCUGCAGGAUGUUUCAAGGAUGGGGUCCAACAACACAGCAAGAGAGGCAAUCUGUGUGCAGGAGAUCUCCACCUCCUACUUCUUUCUGUACUUGGGUUUCUGUACAGCACUUUGAGAUAUCAGCUGAUGUAUGUCUUGAUGUGAGAGGAUGCCAACCCUGAGUCCAGUCAUUGCCAACUCACCCGCUCUUAAGAUAACCUUUGGGCUGACUGGGAGCCUAAGGCUGGUUAGGAGACACCACUAGAGACACUAUUAUGUAAUUAUGAUGAACAGAGAAUAUUUGGGUAGCACUGU